rnacentral:rRNA from 1 species
AUUUUGGACAAUGGGGGCAACCCUGAUCCAGCCAUCCCGCGUGUGCGAUGAAGGCCUUCGGGUUGUAAAGCACUUUUGGCAGGGAAGAAAAGCCGCGGGUUAAUACUCUGCGGUGCUGACGGUACCUGCAGAAAAAGCACUGUCUAACUAAGUGCCAGCAGCCGCGGUAAUACGUAGGGUGGAAGCGUUAAUCGGAAUUCAUGGGCGUAAAGCGUGCGCAGGCGGUUCGGACAGAAGGAUGUGAAAUCCCGGGGCUUAACCUCGGAACUGCAUUCUUAACUGCCGGGCUAGAGUUUGUCAGAGGGGGGUAGAAUUCCGCGUGUAGCAGUGAAAUGCGUAGAGAUGCGGAGGAAUACCGAUGGCGAAGGCAGCCCCCUGGGAUAAUACUGACGCUCAGACACGAAAGCGUGGGGAGCAAACA